rnacentral:rRNA from 1 species
CCUACAGGGGUCAGCAGUGGGGAAUAUUGGACAAUGGGGGCAACCCUGAUCCAGCCAUGCCGCGUGUGUGAAGAAGGCCCUCGGGUUGUAAAGCACUUUCAGUGAGGAAGAACGCCUGGUGGUUAAUACCCAUCAGGAAAGACAUCACUCACAGAAGAAGCACCGGCUAACUCCGUGCCAGCAGCCGCGGUAAUACGGAGGGUGCGAGCGUUAAUCGGAAUUACUGGGCGUAAAGCGCGCGUAGGUGGCUUGAUAAGCCGGUUGUGAAAGCCCCGGGCUCAACCUGGGAACGGCAUCCGGAACUGUCAAGCUAGAGUGCAGGAGAGGAAGGUAGAAUUCCCGGUGUAGCGGUGAAAUGCGUAGAGAUCGGGAGGAAUACCAGUGGCGAAGGCGGCCUUCUGGACUGACACUGACACUGAGGUGCGAAAGCGUGGGUAGCAAACAGGAUUAGAUACCCCGGUAGUC